rnacentral:rRNA from 1 species
UACGUAGGGGGCAAGCGUUGUCCGGAUUUAUUGGGCGUAAAGAGCGUGUAGGCGGCCAGGUAGGUCUGCUGUGAAAACUCGAGGCUCAACCUCGAGACGUCGAUGGAAACCGUAUGGCUAGAGUCCGGAAGAGGAGAGUGGAAUUCCUGGUGUAGCGGUGAAAUGCGCAGAUAUCAGGAAGAACACCCGUGGCGAAGGCGGUUCUCUGGGACGGUACUGACGCUGAGACGCGAAAGCGUGGGGAGCGAACAGG